CAAUAGCGUAUAUUAAAGUUGUUGCAGUUAAAAAGCUCGUAGUUGAAUUUCUGUCAGGAGUGACCGGGCCUUUGGAUGAACUUCCAUUGUUUUUUGCUCUGUUUGUCAUCUCUAGACAUCCUGGAAUAUUUUUUUUUUAAAUGUUCCUCUUUUACUGUUAGCAAAAUAGAGUGUUCCAAGCAAAGCGUAGUUUUGAAUACAUUAGAAUGGAAUAAUAAGAUAGGACUUUGGUGCUAUUUUGUUGGUUUGCACACCAAGGUAAUGAUUAAUAGGGACAGUUGGGGGUAUUCGUAUUUAAUUGUCAGAGGUGAAAUUCUUGGAUUUAUGAAAGACGAACUACUGCGAAAGCAUUUGCCAAGGAUGUUUUCAUUGA
rnacentral:rRNA from 1 species